UCUCACCUGCCUCAAUACUUCCCAGGGAG
rnacentral:piRNA from 1 species